GCCAUGCCCUGUAGCAGGAUUAAUCAUUUAUAAAAUAAAGUCCCUAUCCAUUACUUUCUUCACAUAACUUUUUUUAUGUGAAAUAGUGUUUUAUUGAAUUAAGUUCCAUAUCUGAGUUUGUUAGAUAACAUAUUGAUUUUAAAAUCUGAGUGUUAUAAUUUUUCAAACAAAUAAAGUUUGUCUUGGAGACCUUCAAAUUAGCUUUUCCUUUUUGCAAUAGCUGUUCAUAGUUUCAAGUUGAGUCGAAACCAUGUGGACUGGCACAGUGUGGAUGAAGUAUAUCUUUAUAGUGAUGCAACAACAUCUAAAAUUGCAAGAACAGUUACCCAAAAACUGGGAUUUUCUAAAGGUAAUUGUUAAAUAUUACUAGAGCUUAUCAAAAUUUUGGGAAUCUGACUUUUUCUCUUAUAUUCAAAAUAGACCAUUCAUAUUCUGUUUUUAGUAUGUUUUAAAUAUAUUAAAUUUAGUGACAGAUUCCUUUUUAAAUGAAACUUUUAUUAAGCUGAUCGAGUUGACAUGUGUUCAUCAAGGAAUAAUUAUAUAUUUAGAAUGAUUUGACAAAAUUAAUAAAUAUCUUUUAUACUUCUAAAAGCACAAAAGCUGUUAAACCUAAAAUGUGGCAGUUGAAAUAUAGUGUCAAGGAAGAUGAGGACUGAAAGUUUUCCAUUGUAUUUAGUGACCUGGAGGUCACUGGUGACUUAGAUGGAUUGAUGGGGCAGAAACCAGAUCGGCAUGGGUUGAAGCAUAAGUAGAAGGUGAAGCAAUGGAAGCAAUGAGAAUAGACAACUCUUUUUUUUUCUUCUUCUUCUUUUAUUUUUAAGAUGGGGUCUCACUCUGUCCCCCAGGCUGGAGUACAGUGGUGUGAUCAUAGCACAUCAUAACCUGGAACUAAUUCCUGGGCUCAAGCAAUCCUCCAAACUCAGCCUCCUCAGUAACUAGGAUUACUGGGAUGCAUCACCAUGCCCAGCUAGUUUAUUUUUUUGUAGAAACGGAGUCUCCUUACGUUGUCCAGGCUGGUCUCAAAUUUUUGGGCACAAGCCAUCCUCUUGCCUUGGUCUCCCAAAGCUCUGGGGUUACAGGCUUGACAUACAGUGCCUGGCCUGACAACUCCUUAGAGAAGUUUGACUAAAUGAAUGAAAAUAGAGAAUGAUACCUGGGGAAGAUGUGAGAGCAUUGUCAAAAAAUAAAUGUGAAAAGAAUUUUAAAGUUUGAUAAAAUUUUUAUAUCCUAUUUUAAAAUUUUAAUUUCAUCAAUAAGUGUGCUUUGAAUAUCUUUUUAUGUUUAUUAAUCAGUUAUAUUUAUUUUCUGAAUUACCUCCCAUAAAUUUAACUUAUUUUGCUAUUUGAAUGGUUGUCUUUACUUUUUAAUUAGUAAGCUCUCUUUGUAUACUUAAGUAAUUAUGUGUUAUAUUUUGCAUAUUUUUUUCCAGUUUGCCAUUUCUUUUUUCCUGAUAUUUUAUUAUUAUAAUAUAGAAGCUUUAAAUUUUUAUAUAUUCAGUUUGUCCUUCUUUCCUUCCAUUUCUUUCUCUUUAUGGUUUCUGGCUUUGGUGUUGUGUCCAGUUCACUUUAUAUCACAGCUGAUCAAUAUAUACCUUCUUACAAUUUUUAUUUCCUCCCCCACAGCCAGUGAAAUUUUUUCAUAAUAUUCCUUUUACUUCUUUUUUUUUUUUUUAACAUAUUGUGGGAAUGCUAUUUCUCAGAUUAAAUAGUAAACUUAGAAUUAUAAUUUUUCUACAGUAUCAAGUAGUGGGACCAGACUUCAUAGAGGUUAUGUAGAAGAAGCCACAUUAGAAGACAAGCCAUCACAGACUACCCAUAUUGUAUUUGUUGUGCAUGGCAUUGGGCAGAAAAUGGACCAAGGAAGAAUUAUCAAAAAUACAGCCAUGAUGAGAGAGGCUGCAAGAAAAAUAGAAGAAAGGCAUUUUUCCAACCAUGAAACACAUGUUGAAUUUCUGCCUGUUGAGUGGCGGUCAAAACUUACUCUUGAUGGAGACACUGUUGAUUCUAUUACUCCUGACAAAGUACGAGGUUUAAGGGAUAUGCUGAACAGCAGUGCAAUGGACAUAAUGUAUUAUACUAGUCCACUUUAUAGAGAUGAACUAGUUAAAGGCCUUCAGCAAGAGCUGAAUCGAUUAUAUUCCCUUUUCUGUUCUCGGAAUCCAGACUUUGAAGAAAAAGGGGGUAAAGUCUCAAUAGUGUCACAUUCCUUGGGAUGUGUAAUUACUUAUGACAUAAUGACUGGCUGGAAUCCAGUUCGACUCUAUGAACAGUUGCUGCAAAAGGAAGAAGAGUUGCCUGACGAACGAUGGAUGAGCUAUGAAGAACGACAUCUUCUUGAUGAACUCUAUAUAACAAAACGACGGCUGAAGGAAAUAGAAGAACGGCUGCAUGGAUUGAAAGCAUCAUCUAUGACACAAACACCUGCCUUAAGAUUUAAGGUUGAGAAUUUCUUCUGUAUGGGAUCCCCAUUAGCAGUUUUCUUGGCUUUGCGUGGCAUCCGCCCAGGAAAUACUGGAAGUCAAGACCAUAUUUUGCCUAGAGAGAUUUGUAACCGGUUACUAAAUAUUUUUCAUCCUACAGAUCCAGUGGCUUAUAGAUUAGAACCAUUAAUACUGAAACACUACAGCAACAUUUCACCUGUCCAGAUCCACUGGUACAAUACUUCAAAUCCUCUACCUUAUGAACAUAUGAAGCCAAGCUUUCUCAACCCAGCUAAAGAACCUACCUCAAUUUCAGAGAAUGAAGGCAUUUCAACCAUACCAAGCCCUGUGACCUCACCAGUCUUGUCCCGCCGACACUAUGGAGAAUCUAUAACAAAUAUAGGCAAAGCAAGCAUAUUAGGGGCUGCUAGCAUUGGAAAGGGACUUGGAGGAAUGUUGUUCUCAAGAUUUGGACGUUCAUCUACAACACAGUCAUCUGAAACAUCAAAAGACUCAAUGGAAGAUGAGAAGAAGCCAGUUGCCUCACCUUCUGCUACCACCGUAGGGACACAGACCCUUCCACAUAGCAGUUCUGGCUUCCUUGAUUCUGCAUUGGAGUUGGAUCACAGGAUUGAUUUUGAACUCAGAGAAGGCCUUGUGGAGAGCCGCUAUUGGUCAGCUGUCACGUCGCAUACUGCCUAUUGGUCAUCCUUGGAUGUUGCCCUUUUUCUUUUAACCUUCAUGUACAAACAUGAGCACGAUAACGAUGCAAAACCCAAUUUAGAUCCAAUCUGAACUCUUGAAGGACAUGAAUGGCCUAAAACUGAUUUUUUUUUUUUUCCUGUUAAAAUGUGUGUGUCAAGAUAUGGAAAUUUCAGGGUUAAAGUAUAUUUCAGUUUUCUUUAGGGCAACAGAUAUUUGAAUUUAAAAGCACUUUAUUUUAAAAAAAAGUUUUCAGUUCUGAAGAAGUCAUUUACAGUUUGCAUCAUUUUAAUUAUGAGUCUGACAAAACCUUCUCCAGAGAAUCAAGCAAGACCUGGAUGUGAAGAAGGUUUGGGUAAACUGCAUGUAAAGGCUACAAAUCACAAUCUGAUUCCUCCCAAAUAUAAAGGCAUAUGGAACAUAAUGUAUUAACCAAAGUAUGUUAUAAAUUAAAAAUGGUCAAGGUUCAGCAUAUUCUGUAUGAAGAUCUCAAGGUGGUAUCAUUGUUUUAGAUUUCUAUGAAGGCUUUCAUUUGUACAUCCCUUUGAAAAAAUAUAACAGAUUUAAAGUGUUUUGAAUUUAACUUGUUUAGAAAAACUAAUGCUUAAAACAAUAUUUGAACUACGGUAUUUAUAAUUUAUUACCUCUAAUUGCUUUAUUUCAGUGUAUGAGACAUUACUGUUUUAAUGUUUGCUUUGAACAUAAUUUAAGAACCAGAUUUAUUUUCUAUAGUGUUAAACCCUUUUUUCUCAGAACUCCAUCUUUGUACUCUUCAGAUGAAUAUACAGACACUGUGGCAUACAUUGUUUUUUCAUUAAAAACUUAUGGCUUCAU
rnacentral:sRNA from 1 species